rnacentral:rRNA from 1 species
UACGUAGGGGGCAAGCGUUGUCCGGAUUCAUUGGGCGUAAAGAGCGUGUAGGCGGCCAGGUAGGUCGGUUGUGAAAACUGGAGGCUCAACCUUCAGAGGUCGACCGAAACCAUCUGGCUAGAGUCCGGGAGAGGAGAGUGGAAUUCCUGGUGUAGCGGUGAAAUGUGCAGAUAUCAGGAAGAACACCCGUGGCGAAAGCGGCUCUCUGGAACGGUACUGACGCUGAGACGCGAAAGCGUGGGGAGCGAACAGG